GAUGAACGCUAGCGGCAGGCCUAACACAUGCAAGUCGAGGGAGAAGCCCUUUCGGGGGCAGAAACCGGCGCACGGGUGCGUAACGCGUAUGCAACCUACCUUUCACAGGGGGAUAGCCCGAAGAAAUUUGGAUUAAUACCCCAUAAUAUUAUUGGAUGGCAUCAUUUGAUAAUUAAAACUGCGGUGGUGAAAGAUGGGCAUGCGUCCUAUUAGCUAGUUGGAGUGGUAACGGCACCCCAAGGCUACGAUAGGUAGGGGUCCUGAGAGGGAGAUCCCCCACACUGGUACUGAGACAGGGACCAGACUCCUACGGGAGGCAGCAGUGAGGAAUAUUGGUCAAUGGUCGGAAGACUGAACCAGCCAUGCCGCGUGCAGGAAGAAUGCCUUAUGGGUUGUAAACUGCUUUUAUAUGGGAAGAAUAAGGCGUACGUGUACGUGAUGACGGU
rnacentral:rRNA from 1 species